rnacentral:miRNA from 1 species
UUGAACGUGACUGGGUUAACG